rnacentral:lncRNA from 1 species
CGUCCGUCGUCCGUCGUUUACUUUUACAAAAAUCUUCUCCUCUGAAACUACUGGGCCAAAUUAAACCAAACUUGGCCACAAUCAUCAUUGGGGUAUCUAGUUUAAAAAUUGUGUCCGGUGACCCGGUCAACCAACCAAGAUGGCCGCCAUGGCUAAAAAUAGAACAUAGGGGUAAAAUGCAGUUUUUGGCUUAUAACUCAGAAACCAAAGCAUUUAAAGCAAAUCUGACAUGGGGGUUAAAUUGUUUGUCAGGUCAAGAUCUAUCUGCCUUGAAAAUUUCAGAUGAAUCGGUCAACCCAUUGUUGGGUUGCUGCCCCUGAAUUGGUAAUUUUAAGGAAAUUUUGCUGUUUUUGGUUAUUAUCUUGAAUAAUAUUAUAGAUAGAGAUAAACUGUAAACAACAAUAAUGUUCAGCAAAAUAAGAUUUACAAAUAAGUCUAUACUACCGAAAUGGUCAGUUGACCCCUUUAGGAGUUAUUGCCCUUUAUAGUCAAUUUUUAACCAUAUUUUGUAAAUCUGAGUAAUCCUUUACAAAAAUCUUCUCCUCUGAAACAACUGGGCCAAAUUAAACCAAACUUGGCCACAAUCAUCAUUGGGUAUCUAGUUUUAAAAAAUUGUGUCCAGUGACUCGGUCAACCAACCAAGAUGGCCGCCAUGGCUAAAAAUAGAUAAUAGGGGUAAAAUGCAGUUUUUGGCUUAUAACUCAAAAACCAAAGCAUUAAGAGCAAAUCUGACGGAGUUAAAUUGUAAAUCAGGUCAAGAUCUAUCUGCCUUGAAAAUUUCAGAUGAAUCGAACAACCCGUUGUAGGGUUGCUGCCCCUGAAUUGGUAAUUUUAAGGAAAUUUUGCUGUUUUUGGUUAUUAUCUUGAAUAAUAUUAUAGAUAGAGAUAAACAGUGAACAGCCAUUAUGUUCAGCAAAGUAAGAUUUACAAAUAAGUCAACACGACUGAAAUUGUCAGUUGACCCCUUUAGGAGUUAUUGCCCUUUAUAGUCAAUUUUUAACCAUUUUUCGUAAAUCUUAGUAAUCUUUUACAAAAAUCUUCUCCUCUGAAACUACUGGGCCAAAUUAAACCAAACUUGGCC